rnacentral:rRNA from 1 species
GACGAACGCUGGCGGCGUGCUUAACACAUGCAAGUCGAACGGAAAGGCCCUGCUUUUGUGGGGUGCUCGAGUGGCGAACGGGUGAGUAACACGUGAGUAACCUGCCCUUGACUUUGGGAUAACUUCAGGAAACUGGGGCUAAUACCGGAUAGGAGCUCCUGCUGCAUGGUGGGGGUUGGAAAGUUUCGGCGGUUGGGGUUGGACUCGCGGCUUAUCAGCUUGUUGGUGGGGUAGUGGCUUACCAAGGCUUUGACGGGUAGCCGGCCUGAGAGGGUGACCGGCCACAUUGGGACUGGGAUACGGCCCAGACUCCUACGGGAGGCAGCAGUGGGGAAUAUUGCACAAUGGGCGGAAGCCUGAUGCAGCAACGCCGCGUGCGGGAUGACGGCCUUCGGGUUGUAAACCGCUUUCGCCUGUGACGAAGCGUGAGUGACGGUAAUGGGUAAAGAAGCACCGGCUAACUACGUG